rnacentral:lncRNA from 1 species
GGGAAAGGACGGACGGGUUAAGUAGCCAAUCACCAAUUGCGCUCCAGCCAGAGGGGAGAUGCUCUUGGGGAGCCUGGGGUGCUCCCAAUGCAAUCACAAAGAUCUUUAAAAGUGGAAGAAGAUGGGAGAGGUCAGAGUGCUACGAAGAGAACUCAGUCUACCACUGCUGGCUUUGAAGAUGGAAGAAUGGGGCUAUGAGCCCUGGAUUUUGGGCAGCCUGCAGAAGCUGGGGCAGAGAUUCCACACAGGCACCUCUAGAAAAUAAUGCAGCCAGCCAAUCCUUAGACUUUAUCCCAGUGAGAGUCAAGUUGGACUUCUGACCUACAAAAGAAUAUUAGAAACAAGAUGUGAAGAAAUUAAGAGAUGUCCAAGUUCGAAGGAGCCAGCUGUUAGUUCAGGCAAAGUCUUAUCUAGAGUGCAUCAUCAUCGUAUGCUCUGGGUUCUGAAUUAAACCUGAAAUGCAGGUCCAGGGGGUAAAUUGUGUGUCACUGAGACUUCGUGUGCAAAUGAUCCCAUCACCAAGGUAAAUAUCUAAAUUAUCUGUGGCAACAACUUGGUGGGGUCAACUCGAAUGUUUUUGUCGGUUGUUCUUGAAGACUUCUGGGUCUCUACAACCACAUUCUUUGGCUGGUGCCAGUGUUUAAGCACUCUGAAACUGCAUAGCAGCAUGUUUGAAGGUGGCCUGUCAAAUUUGGGAAGCUGACGGUGUGACUGAGCUAGUCACAGGGGUCUUCACAGAAAAGGCAGUCAGGGUCCUGGUCAACUGGAGAUUCCAUCUGAAUGGUGAGUGAGUGCAUCGUAAAGCUUUUGCUAAGGGCUUUAGCAAUUUCUCUCCGAACCACUUGGCUGUCCCGGCUGGCUGC